ACGCUGGCGGCAGGCUUAACACAUGCAAGUCGAACGGUAGCAGGAGAAAGCUUGCUUUCUUGCUGACGAGUGGCGGACGGGUGAGUAAUGCUUGGGAAUCUGGCUUAUGGAGGGGGAUAACUACGGGAAACUGUAGCUAAUACCGCGUAGUAUCGGAAGAUGAAAGUGCGGGACCGUAAGGCCGCAUGCCAUGAGAUGAGCCCAAGUGGGAUUAGGUAGUUGGUGGGGUAAAGGCCUACCAAGCCUGCGAUCUCUAGCUGGUCUGAGAGGAUGGCCAGCCACACUGGAACUGAGACACGGUCCAGACUCCUACGGGAGGCAGCAGUGGGGAAUAUUGCGCAAUGGGGGGAACCCUGACGCAGCCAUGCCGCGUGAAUGAAGAAGGCCUUCGGGUUGUAAAGUUCUUUCGGUAUUGAGGAAGGAGUGUAUGUUAAUAGCAUACAUUAUUGACGUUAAAUACAGAAGAAGCACCGGCUAACUCCGUGCCAGCAGCCGCGGUAAUACGGAGGGUGCGAGCGUUAAUCGGAAUAACUGGGCGUAAAGGGCACGCAGGCGGUUAUUUAAGUGAGGUGUGAAAGCCCCGGGCUUAACCUGGGAAUUGCAUUUCAGACUGGGUAACUAGAGUACUUUAGGGAGGGGUAGAAUUCCACGUGUAGCGGUGAAAUGCGUAGAGAUGUGGAGGAAUACCGAAGGCGAAGGCAGCCCCUUGGGAAUGUACUGACGCUCAUAUGCGAAAGCGUGGGGAGCAAACAGGAUUAGAUACCCUGGUAGUCCACGCUGUAAACGCUGUCGAUUUGGGGAUUGGGCUUUAAGCUUGGUGCCCGUAGCUAACGUGAUAAAUCGACCGCCUGGGGAGUACGGCCGCAAGGUUAAAACUCAAAUGAAUUGACGGGGGCCCGCACAAGCGGUG
rnacentral:rRNA from 1 species